AACGAACGCUGGCGGCAUGCCUAACACAUGCAAGUCGAACGAGACCUUCGGGUCUAGUGGCGCACGGGUGCGUAACGCGUGGGAACCUGCCCUUAGGUUCGGAAUAACUCCCCGAAAGGGGUGCUAAUACCGGAUAAUGUCUUCGGACCAAAGAUUUAUCGCCUUUGGAUGGGCCCGAGUUGGAUUAGCUAGUUGGUAGGGUAAAAGCCUACCAAGGCGACGAUCCAUAGCUGGUCUGAGAGGAUGAUCAGCCACACUGGGACUGAGACACGGCCCAGACUCCUACGGGAAGCAGCAGUGGGGAAUAUUGGACAAUGGGCGAAAGCCUGAUCCAGCAAUGCCGCGUGAGUGAUGAAGACCUUAGGGUUGUAAAGCUCUUUUACCCGGGAUGAUAAUGACAGUACCGGGAGAAUAAGCUCCGGCUAACUCCGUG
rnacentral:rRNA from 1 species